AAAUCGACAGUACAAAAAAGUGUCAAACCAAGUAAUCCUGAAUUCCACAUCCUCGGGGAGGGAAAAAGUUCUAGAAUCUUGUAUGCUUCAAACACUACAUAAUCUUGCUGAAACAGAAACACAAAAAAUCCAACACCAGCAGGGCACUCCAUCAAAGGACAAAUAUUCCAAAACAAUAAGAUAUUAGACACGUAAAGAAAAAAAUGAUUGUUUUUACCGAAGGGUAUGUAAACUGAACUUCUUCAUGCCACGGUUUCCAUAACAAACCACACAAUCAUAGGCGCUAUCUCUUUGUUCUGAUGAUAUGCAACAUGGUUUGCUGAAUUAUGCUACUCUUCAAUCUUUAUUCUUGGUUUUUCUCCCAAAUUUUCCAGAAUCAUGUAAUCUUUUGCACUGUAAGAAUACAAAUCCAAAACCCAAAUGUAGAACAAACAUUUGUAAGAAAAAAGAAGUAUUAAUGAUAAGAACUAAGAAAACCCCUAAGGCUCAACUUUUCAAUUAUACCAACCAACUCUUACCACACACACCAAUAGACUCAUAUGACCCGAAACAGUGGAAACCAUAAGAGAGUAAAUCGAGAAAAGUGGUCGGGUUGAUAGGAAUUGACCGAGAAGAAAUGAAAUGGACAUAAUUUAUAAUAAUAUAGUAUAGGGUACCAAAUUAAAACUGAG
rnacentral:lncRNA from 1 species